AGAGGUUAGGGUCCUCUUGAGGAGAUUAUUCAAGGGGACCUUGAGCUUUGAAAAAGCAGAGGAGCAAGCCUAGCAAACCCCUGGUGUAGAGGAUGCCCCCCACACCAACCAAAGUCGCCUGGCCUCACUGAUGCUAGGAUCCCGACCUUCAAGCUCGGCCUCGAUCGAGGCCAAGGAUGAUCUCGUAGUCAUUGCCGCCACCCCCGUCAGUGUAGCUUUGCUAGUGUCUUUAGAGCUGGGUCCAUCCCAAGCUCUCGCUUCAUGCAUCCGGCAUUCAGCCAUGCUAGAAUCUUCCACCUCUACCAUCGGUCUGUCGUUGGGCAUGGUCCUAGGAAAGAAGCCUCAAGUCUCUUCGGAACUUUCCAACCACCCUCCUCUAGACUUGUCCAAGGAGGGUUUCAUCACCUUGGGGAUGAGGGUUUGGACGAGCAACUCUGCCCUCAACAAUCCUUAGGUUGCCCAAGACUUAAUGAGGAUGACCCUACUGCCAACUGAUUAGGAGGAGAGAAAGGCCUGUUUGGUAGAUGAGAUUAUGUCUUCUUCCUAUGCAUUGCUUCUUGGGGAAGGCUUAUUGCACAUUUGUUCUCUUCUUUUUGUUGAUGUCCGACUUUUUUAACUCAGUUAUUUUCCUCUGCCUUUUUGUAGCUAAUGCAUGAUAUUACUAUCAUGCACAGGGGGCUAACUGACUACAGUUGUCUUUAUCAUUGUUUAGAAAAAAGGGCCCAAACCACCUAGGCUCAGGCCAAGGUUGCUAAGGAGCUCCUCAGGGCGGCUAAGGAGUGAGAAGCUAGGAAGAUUGAAGAGAGGGCUUAGCUUGACACCGAGCUCGCUGCUAGUCGAGAGAGGUUGGCUGCUCUUGAGGCUCAAUUGAUGAAGGAGAAGAAGAUGGUCGCCAAGCUUGAUAGGGAGCUCAAUCUUUGUAAACUAGCCAUUGCAGGUCUGGAGGGAGAUUAGACUAUCAUUGAGGAGGCUACUAGGGUCGCCAAGGAGAAGGCAAUCAUGGAGGCUUACCAAUUCGGCUUUGACAACUGCAAAGCUCAAUUUCCUCGAUUCUAUCUUGACCUUGAAUUAAGCAAGCUCAGAGUCAUUGACAAAGCCACGGGAGAUUCCAAAGUAGUUUUGGAACAACUUAGUGCAGAGCCCGAGCCCGUCGUUCAGACCAAGCCUUCGACUACUUCUAGGAUCGAGGUGAUUGUCGGUGCCUCUACUAAGGCUUAGCUUUUUUGUAUUUUUCUCUAUUUUCUCUGGCUUAAUUUCCUUUGAACUCUUGUAAUGAAAUAGACUUAUAAUGAUACUUUUUGCUAAUGAAAGAUCUUCCUUUUGGUCAAAAUGUCUUUCUUCUUUUAUUUCUCUUUGUCGCUUACUUCCCAUUUUAUGCAGCCAACCUUUUGUCCCCUUUGUGGGCAUCCAAACGUCUAUGAUUGAUUCAGAGCUUUCAUAAAGGAAAAGGUCUAGAAAGCCGUUGCUUGGGUGAGGGCUACCGAAAAGGAGACAGUCAAAGGAACAAAGAGGACGACAGGAGAGAUAAAGGAGGCUACUGAAAAAGUAGCUCAGCUCAAGAUUGAGAUCCUCGCCAUCAUGGAAAAUUUGAUCUCCCUCACAUACCCAGUCGAGGUGGAAGAGUUAGUAGCAGGGGAGCCGAGGGAGCAAUUUGAUAGUACAAUCAAAGUAAACAGGUUGGCAAUGAGAGGCCUCCAUGAGACUUCCAAGGAAAUGUUUAAAGUAGAAAGGUCGGUGGCGUAGAAGCUCCAAGAGAAAGUCAGACUGGUCGAACAACAUGCUAUCGUAGAAAAAGUCAAGACUUUGUUUGAAGCCAUGUGGGCUUACGACCUUGAUUUCAUGGAAUGCAAAUCCAUGGUGUGGCAGUUUUGUUCGGCCAACGCCGAUCAAUGUCAAUGGGGAUAGCCAAUCUUUGAUAUAGUAGAAGAUGUUGCCACCAUUAUAUUUUUGGUUUUUGUUCUUGAGA
rnacentral:lncRNA from 1 species